GGGGCUAAUACCGGAUAACAUUUUGAACCGCAUGGUUCGAAAUUGAAAGGCGGCUUCGGCUGUCACUUAUGGAUGGACCCGCGUCGCAUUAGCUAGUUGGUGAGGUAACGGCUCACCAAGGCAACGAUGCGUAGCCGACCUGAGAGGGUGAUCGGCCACACUGGGACUGAGACACGGCCCAGACUCCUACGGGAGGCAGCAGUAGGGAAUCUUCCGCAAUGGACGAAAGUCUGACGGAGCAACGCCGCGUGAGUGAUGAAGGCUUUCGGGUCGUAAAACUCUGUUGUUAGGGAAGAACAAGUGCUAGUUGAAUAAGCUGGCACCUUGACGGUACCUAACCAGAAAGCCACGGCUAACUACGUGCCAGC
rnacentral:rRNA from 1 species